rnacentral:lncRNA from 1 species
CCGGCAGAGGUUUCUCCUAUAGGAUCCCUAGCGUAAGAACUUAUCUCAUAAAUUCAUAAUAUAAAAACCAAGUGAAACCCAAAACUACUUCACUUCGACAACAUAAUUUACAUACGGAUUUUACUUUCUGGAGACCCCGAAGGGAUUACAAAGAGAAAAGAAAACUACCUUCUGCCUACCUCCACCACUGGAUGAUACAAUGCAUCAAAGGCUUAUUACAACUGGAGAUGGCUACUACUACUACUACUGAGGAGAGUGAGGGAUGUGGUGCUCUGGUGUUGCGAUGCUCUGGAGACUGGUGUUGUGUGUGUUCCAGCGCUCAGUCCUCCUCCUUUGAUAGCACGCGAGGGGCACCGCGCAAUUACUACCUUUAUUCUUCUCUAGCAGGUGUGCUACAGCCUGCCUUGACACAACUUCGGCCUCUUGCGUUUUCCUUUGCUUGAGCUGAUGAAGCAUCUCCAUAUUUUAUCUGCCUUGUAGUUUGCACAGUCAAGCAUCUUAUGCAUGAUUCCAAUGCGUGGCUGAGCUUUUGUCUUGACAGAUGAUUUUGUCCAGACUGAAGUCUUUUUCUUGACAGAUGAUUUUGUCUAGACUGAAGUCGUUGUCCUGACUGAGAACUUUGUCUGAACUGAGAAUUUUGUCCAGACUGAGAACUUUGUCUAGACAGGAGACCUUGUCAUGGCUGAGAGACCAGCUUCUCGUGGCAUGGUAAAAUAUUGCUAUGACAUGGCUGGGUAUACAAACUAGUCCAAUAUAUUACUCUGUUGCUUGCAUGCGAAGCUAUUGGCUCUGUAAAUUGCACAAGCCAACACACAUUGCGUGCGCAAUGGAGUCAUGCAUUGCUUUGGCUCUUCUUGACUAAAACUUCAGCUAUACUCUUGUGCUCCCUUAUGCUUCCAUGGCUGGCAUUAUCAUUUAUUUAUUUAUUUAUUUUUACAAUAAAAUAAUUAAAAUAUAUUAGAUAUUUUACAAUAUUUAAAAUACCAGAUUAUUAAAUACUUAGGUGAUUUAAAUUAGGUGAUUUAAUUUUUUUGAAAUUAUUCAAUUAACUAAUUCUUAAUUAAUUUGCUAAUUAUUAUAUUUUACGUGUAUAUGCAAGAUCUUUUAUGGGUUGGUGAGACCAACGAGACAACCUACGGGUAUGCAACAGUUGUGUUAAUCCUACUCGGUACUCUCCGUAUGUAUCAUUAUGUUGCUUCAGAAGCACCUAAGUUCUUUCACUUGAUGUUUAUAUUGUGAAUUUAUGCGAUAAAUUCCUACCGUCUUCCCAGGCAGUUCCAUCCGAAGGGAACACUUCUCUACGGCCACAAGGUUCUCAUUCAAACGCCACACAUCGGCUAAACAGAGAACGACCGGCAGAGGUUUCUCCUAUAGGAUACCUAGCGUAAGAACUCAUCUCAUAAAUUCAUAAUAUAAAAACCAAGUGAAACCCGAAACUACUUCACUUAGACAACAUAAUUUACAUACGGAUUUCCCUUUCGGGAGACCCCGAAGGGAUUACAAAGAGAAAAGAAAACUACCUCUGCCUACCUCCACCACUGGAUGAUACAAUGCCUCAAAGGCUUAUUACAGACUGGAGAUGGCCACUACUACUACUACUACUAAGGAGAGUGAGGGAUGUGGUGCUCUUGUGCUGCGAUGCUCUGGAGACUGGUGUUGUGCAUGUGUCAGCGCUCAGUCCUCCUCCUUUUAUAGCACGCGAGGGAUGCUGGAUGCUCCCUUCUUUAUUCCUCUGCAUCAUAGAUGGAAGCUGGAGGAUCUCAUACCUUGACACGCCUUAUGCACCGACAAAAUGCCUCAAAGUUUGCACAAUCAACCUUGCGUGACUCCGAUGCUAGACUGAGAACUUUUUCUAGACUGAGAAUUUUGUCCACACUAAGAACUUUGUCUAGACAGGAGACUUUGUCAUGGCUGAGAGACGGGCUUCUUGUUGCGUGAUAAAAUAUUGCAAUGACAAGGCUGGGUAUGCAAACCAGCCCAAUAUAUUACUCCAUUGCUUGCAUGUGAAGCUAUUUGCUUUGUAAAUUGCGCAAGCCAACACACAUUGCGUGCGCAAUGGAGUCAUGCAUUGCUUUGGCUCUUCUUGACUGAAACUUCAGCUAUACUCUUGUGCUCCCUUAUGCUUCGAUGGCUGGCAUUAUUAUUUAUUUAUUUAUUUAUUUUUAACUUUUUUGGGUAUGGGUCUACCCCGCCCAUGUUAUUGAUAAUACCUUAUCAAUAUUUUGAAUUAUGUCAAUAUUCGGGUAUAG